rnacentral:rRNA from 1 species
UGGCUUUUAGAUAAAAUUGAAAGUCUAAUCUGCUCACUGAAAAAUUUAAAGAGCCGCAGUAUAUUAACUGUGCAAAGGUAGCAUAAUCAAUUGUUUUUUAAUUGGAAACUAGUAUGAAUGAUUUAAUGAAACAUAAUUUUUUUUUAUUUUAAUGUAGUUUAAUUUAUAAUUUUAGUGAAAAUACUGAAAUGCAUUAAAAAGACGAGAAGACCCUAUAGAUUUUUAUUGAUUUAUUAUAUUUAAUUAAAUAGAAUUGGUUUUAUAAUAAAAUAAUUUAAUUGGGGUGAUUUUGUAAAAUAUUAAAUUUAAUUUUAUUAAACCAGAAAUAAAUGAAUUUUUUGAGUUGAAAUUUUUUAAUAUAAGAUUAAAAUACCUUAGGGAUAACAGCGUAAUUUUAUUUAUAAGUUCUUAUUUAUAAUAAAGUUUACGACCUCGAUGUUGAAUUAAGAUAAAACAUUAAAGAAGAAGUUAAUGUUAAUAGUCUGUUCGACUAUUUAUUCU